CGAGUGAAGCGGCAACAGCUCAAAUUUGAAAUCUGGCUCUCUUGAGGGUCCGAGUUGUAAUUUGUAGAGGGUGCUUUGGUGUUAGCUGUGGUCUAAGUCCCUUGGAACAGGGCGUCACAGAGGGUGAGAAUCCCGUAUGUGGCCAGCAGCUUCCGCCUUGUAAAGCCCCUUCGACGAGUCGAGUUGUUUGGGAAUGCAGCUCUAAAUGGGAGGUAAAUUUCUUCUAAAGCUAAAUAUUGGCCAGAGACCGAUAGCGCACAAGUAGAGUGAUCGAAAGAUGAAAAGCACUUUGGAAAGAGAGUCAAAAAGCACGUGAAAUUGUUGAAAGGGAAGCGCUUGCAGCCAGACUUGCCCGUAGUUGCUCAUCCAGGCCUUGUGUCUGGUGCACUCUUCUGCGGGCAGGCCAGCAUCAGUUCAGGCGGUCGGAUAAAGGCUCUGGGAAUGUGGCUCCUCUCGGGGAGUGUUAUAGCCCAGGGUGCCAUGCGGCCAGCUUGGACUGAGGUCCGCGCUUCUGCUAGGAUGCUGGCGUAAUGGCUGUAAGCGGCCCGUCUUGAAACACGGACCAAGGAGUCUAACAUCUAUGCGAGUGUUUGGGUGUCAAGCCCGAGCGCGUAAUGAAAGUGAACGGAGGUGGGAACCCCUCGGGUGCACCAUCGACCGAUCCUGAUGUCUUCGGAUGGAUUUGAGUAAGAGCAUAGCUGUUGGGACCCGAAAGAUGGUGAACUAUGCCUGAAAAGGGUGAAGCCAGAGGAAACUCUGGUGGAGGC
rnacentral:rRNA from 1 species